UACGUAGGAGGCGAGCGUUGUCCGGAUUUACUGGGCGUAAAGGGCGCGUAGGCGGCACCAUAAGUCCGCAGUGAAAUCUCCCUGCUCAACGGGGAGGGUGCUGUGUAGACUAUGGAGCUAGAGGUGGGUAGAGGGUGGUGGAAUUGCUGGUGUAGCGGUGAAAUGCGUAGAGAUCAGCAGGAACACCAGUGGCGAAAGCGGCCACCUGGACUGCACCUGACGCUGACACGCGAAAGCUAGGGGAGCGAACGGG
rnacentral:rRNA from 1 species